rfam:Schistosoma rodhaini strain Burundi genome assembly, scaffold: SROB_scaffold0003618
AUUCAGCUGACAAGUCCCAAGUAAGACGAAACACACGUCCUGGAU